rnacentral:rRNA from 1 species
GAUGAACGCUAGCGGCAGGCUUAAUACAUGCAAGUCGAGGGGCAGCAGGGUGUAGCAAUACAUCGCUGGCGACCGGCAAACGGGUGCGGAACACGUACGCAACCUUCCUUCAAGCGAGGAAUAGCCCAGGGAAACUUGGAUUAAUACCUCGUAACAUUGUGAAGUGGCAUCACUUUAUAAUUAGAGCUCAGGCGCUUGAAGAUGGGCGUGCGACUGAUUAGGUAGUUGGCGGAGUAACAGCCCACCCAAGCCUGCGAUCAGUAACUAGGUGUGAGAGCACGACCAGUCACACGGGCACUGAGACAC